rnacentral:miRNA from 1 species
CUCUGCUUUGGUGGUUGGCUGAUGUUCUCGGUUAAGGGGUUUAUUGUCUGGUUCAAGGCCUCCUGCUGUCCUACAUCACAUUUUUUUUCUUUGUUCUGAAUUAUUGAUGGAUGUGUGUGUGCAUGAUGCAUGGCUGGUGGUGACCUCGGACCAGGCUUCAUUCCCUUUAACCAGCAUUUGCGUUAAUACCAUCAGGCA